rnacentral:rRNA from 1 species
ACUCAAAUGAAUUGACGGGGACCCGCACAACUGGUGGAGCGUGUGGUUUAAUUCGAGACGAAGCGAAACACCUUACCAGGGCUUGACAUGCUACCGUUUUAUACCUUUUGAAAGAUUGGUAGAUCCGCAAGGAUGGUAGCACAGGUGAUGCAUGGCUGUCGUCAGCUCGUGUCGUGAGAUGUUCCCUUAAGUGGGGAAACGAGCGCAACCCCCGCGAAAUGUUAUAUAUUCAUUUCGGACUGCCCCGCUAUGCGGGGAGGAAGGAGGGGAAGACGUCAAGUCAGCACGUCCCUUAUGCCCUGGGUUACACACACCCUACAAUGGCGAAUAACAAAGAGCAGCAAGCCGGUGACGGCAAGCAAAUCUCUAAAAUUUCGCCUCAGUUCAGAUUGGAGUCUGCAACCCGACUCCAUGAAGACGGAAUCAGUAGUAAUCGCAGAUCAGCAGGCUGCGGUGAAUACGUUCUCGGGUCUUGUACACACCGCCCGU